rnacentral:rRNA from 1 species
CAUGCAAGUCGAGGGGAACGACAUCGAAAGCUUGCUUUUGAUGGGCGUCGACCGGCGCACGGGUGAGUAACGCGUAUCCAACCUGCCCACCACUUGGGGAUAACCUUGCGAAAGUAAGACUAAUACCCAAUGACGUCUCUAGAAGACAUCUGAAAGAGAUUAAAGAUUUAUCGGUGAUGGAUGGGGAUGCGUCUGAUUAGCUUGUUGGCGGGGUAACGGCCCACCAAGGCGACGAUCAGUAGGGGUUCUGAGAGGAAGGUCCCCCACAUUGGAACUGAGACACGGUCCAAACUCCUACGGGAGGCAGCAGUGAGGAAUAUUGGUCAAUGGACGAGAGUCUGAACCAGCCAAGUAGCGUGCAGGAAGACGGCCCUAUGGGUUGUAAACUGCUUUUAUAAGGGAAUAAAGUGAGAGUCGUGACUCUUUUUGCAUGUACCUUAUGAAUAAGGACCGGCUAAUUCCGUGCCAGCAGCCGCGGUAAUACGGAAGGUCCGGGCGUUAUCCGGAUUUAUUGGGUUUAAAGGGAGCGUAGGCCGGAGAUUAAGCGUGUUGUGAAAUGUAGAUGCUCAACAUCUGAACUGCAGCGCGAACUAGUUUCCUUGAGUACGCACAAAGUGGGCGGAAUUCGUGGUGUAGCGGUGAAAUGCUUAGAUAUCACGAAGAACUCCGAUUGCGAAGGCAGCUCACUGGAGCGCAACUGACGCUGAAGCUCGAAAGUGCGGGUAUCGAACAGGAUUAGAUACCCUGGUAGUCCGCACGGUAAACGAUGGAUGCCCGCUGUUGGUCUGAAUAGGUCAGCGGCCAAGCGAAAGCAUUAAGCAUCCCACCUGGGGAGUACGCCGGCAACGGUGAAACUCAAAGGAAUUGACGGGGGCCCGCACA